rnacentral:rRNA from 1 species
AAGCGGUGGAGCAUGUGGUUAAUUCGAUGAUACGCGAAAACCUUACCCGGGCUUGACAUGCAUCAGACAGGCGUAGAGAUACGCCCUCCGCGAGGCUGGUGCACAGGUGCUGCAUGGUUGUCGUCAGCUCGUGCCGUGAGGUGUCGGGUUAAGUCCCAUAACGAGCGCAACCCUUAUCGUUAGUUGCCAUCUGGUAAUGCAGGGGACUCUAGCGAAACUGCCACCGUAAGGUGAGAGGAAGUGGGAUGACGUCAAAUCAGCACGGCCCUUAUGUCCAGGGCUACACACGUGUUACAAUGGUCGGUACAGAGGGCAGCUACCUGGUGACAGGAUGCUAAUCUCGAAAACCGGUCUCAGUUCGGAUCGAAGUCUGCAACUCGACUUCGUGAAGCUGGAUUCGCUAGUAAUCGCGCAUCAGCUAUGGCGCGGUGAAUACGUUCCCGGGCCUU